UGCUAAAUAAAGUUGUCGAUAACUAUGUCCAUAGUGAAAGUUAAUUAUUUACGACUAUUAUGCUGCAAAGAGAGCAACGCUCGUUUUUAUGAUAGAAGAAAAUCUAAUGAGUUUCUCUUACGAUGGAUUCGAAACAUGCACGUCUUACAACCGAAGUUGACGACACGGAAGUUGAUUUCUCGUCGUCUUACUUCAACUUUCAAAUAAAAGGAUUGUUAGAGAAGGAGAAAAAUAUCACGAUAAAGGCCUUCGCAUUUGCUUCUCCUGACUUGCACAUUGCAAAUAUAGUUCAUCGCUACAUCAACAAAAUCUAAAAUUUGAUUUCGUCUACAAUAUUACAUCUCUGUUUGCAGAAAUGGGCUUUCCGUUUUGAAAACAACGGCCUUUCUUGUUUAUCCGCCACAUUUCUCUAAAUCCAACUGUAAUCCCGCCCCUUUGGCUCUAGAAUUUACGGUCAGAAUUUACGGUUAUUUUCACAAGUUUUGGCUAUAUGACUUGAUAGCCUUCGACGAGUAAAUAUUGUAGAAAUAUUUACAGUCAGAGAGGUUUCGUGUGACGUUUCAUCCCUAUAAGUUAUUAUAUUGC